CGUAACAAGGUCUCCGUUGGUGAACCAGCGGAGGGAUCAUUACCGAGUUUACAACUCCCAAACCCCUGUGAACAUACCUUAAUGUUGCCUCGGCGGAUCAGCCCGCGCCCCGUAAAACGGGACGGCCCGCCAGAGGACCCAAACUCUAAUGUUUCUUAUUGUAACUUCUGAGUAAAACAAACAAAUAAAUCAAAACUUUCAACAACGGAUCUCUUGGUUCUGGCAUCGAUGAAGAACGCAGCAAAAUGCGAUAAGUAAUGUGAAUUGCAGAAUUCAGUGAAUCAUCGAAUCUUUGAACGCACAUUGCGCCCGCUGGUAUUCCGGCGGGCAUGCCUGUUCGAGCGUCAUUUCAACCCUCAAGCCCUCGGGUUUGGUGUUGGGGAUCGGCUCUGCCUUCUGGCGGUGCCGCCCCCGAAAUACAUUGGCGGUCUCGCUGCAGCCUCCAUUGCGUAGUAGCUAACACCUCGCAACUGGAACGCGGCGCGGCCAUGCCGUAAAACCCCAACUUCUGAAUGUUGACCUCGGAUCAGGUAGGAAUACCCGCUGAACUUAAGCAUAUCAAUAA
rnacentral:rRNA from 1 species